UACGUAGGGUGCGAGCGUUAAUCGGAAUUACUGGGCGUAAAGCGUGCGCAGGCGGUUCGUUGUGUCGGCGGUGAAAGCCCCGGGCUCAACCUGGGAAUGGCCGUUGAAACUGGCGAACUGGAGUGUGGCAGAGGGGGGUGGAAUUCCCGGUGUAGCAGUGAAAUGCGUAGAUAUCGGGAGGAAUACCGAUGGCGAAGGCAGGUCUCUGGGCUAUAACUGACGCUCAUGCACGAAAGCGUGGGGAGCAAACAGG
rnacentral:rRNA from 1 species